GAUCCUAACUGACCUUAGACAUGAUUUUUACUAUGAUUAAAUGUCAGGGAUUGUGAAACUGAGUUUAAAUGUAUUUGGCUAAGGUAUAUGUAAACAUCAACUGUAUAACAUAUGAUCUGUUUAAAUUAUGAAUAUUUUCUCACAAGGCCAAUUUUCUUGUUUGUUUUGUUCUGCUCUCCUGAAGUAAAUUUUAUUUGAAGGAUUGAUGAGCACUUUAUUCUAGAACACUAGCGUAGCUACUCGUAUGGCUUUUUUAAAUGACGCUUUUGCCUUUUUGCAAAAGCAUAUUUUUUUAAAAUGAAUUUUACCAAGCAGGAGAAAACUGAUGGAGAGGGUACGGUCUUGGUCCUUUUCUGUUGUCCCUUGAAAAACAGAUUUUUUAUUUUUUUUUAAACAAAAGCAAUGUAUCUGUUUAAUUAUAUUGGAUUGCUGAUGGUGCUCACUAAGAUUUUUUUGUGUUUGAAAUUGUCAUAAUCCAUCACGUUUCCUUUCUUUGACAUGAAGUGUGUGUUACAUAGGUGUAGUAUGAUUGGUUUCUUUGACAUGAAGUGUGUGUUACAUAGGUGUAGUAUGAUUGGUUUCUUUGACAUGAAGGAAGUGUGUGUUACAUAGGUGUAGUAUGAUUGGUUUCUUUGACAUGAAGUAAGUGUGUGUUACAUAGGUGUAGUAUGAUUGGUUUCUUUGACAUGAAGGAAGUGUGUGUUACAUAGGUGUAGUAUGAUUGGUUUCUUUGACAUGAAGUAAGUGUGUGUUACAUAGGUGUAGUAUGAUUGGUUUCUUUGACAUGAAGUAAGUGUGUGUUACAUAGGUGUAGUAUGAUUGGUUUCUUUGACAUGAAGUAAGUGUGUGUUACAUAGGUGUAGUAUGAUUGGUUUCUUUGACAUGAAGUGUGUGUUACAUAGGUGUAGUAUGAUUGGUUUCUUUGACAUGAAGGAAGUGUGUGUUACAUAGGUGUUGUAUGAUUGGUUUCUUUGACAUGAAGGAAGUGUGUGUUACAUAGGUGUAGUAUGAUUGGUUUCUUUGACAUGAAGUAAGUGUGUGUUACAUAGGUGUAGUAUGAUUGGUUUCUUUGACAUGAAGGAAGUGUGUGUUACAUAGGUGUAGUAUGAUUGGUUUCUUUGACAUGAAGGAAGUGUGUGUUACAUAGGUGUAGUAUGAUUGGUUUCUUUGACAUGAAGUAAGUGUGUGUUACAUAGGUGUAGUAUGAUUGGUUUCUUUGACAUGAAGUGUGUGUUACAUAGGUGUAGUAUGAUUGGUUUCUUUGACAUGAAGGAAGUGUGUGUUACAUAGGUGUAGUAUGAUUGGUUUCUUUGACAUGAAGGAAGUGUGUGUUACAUAGGUGUAGUAUGAUUGGUUUCUUUGACAUGAAGUAAGUGUGUGUUACAUAGGUGUAGUAUGAUUGGUUUCUUUGACAUGAAGUAAGUGUGUGUGUUACAUAGGUGUAGUAUGAUUGGUUUCUUUGACAUGAAGUACUUUUGUGUAAUUCUUAAACCAAAUGUUGUUUUGUAAAAAUGUUGGCACACAAUUCUCGAGUUUUAUGGAGGAUUUAAACCGUAUUUAUAAAGAACAAAACAAUUCGCAAAUAUCUACAGAAAAGAAUCAUCGAUAAAUAAAGAUUUGUCAUCGUCACGAAAUGAGAUUCUCCAACUUUUAGCUUUGUAAAAUCUUAUCUGGUACUGGGUAGGGGAUGUCUGCUAGUAGCUGAAGAGAUGGCUGGCGUAAAAAGCCUAUUUGCUUGUAGAUGUGCAGCAUUUUGAGGUUCCACUGAUUUUAGGCAACAUUUGUCAGACAAUUUGUCCCUUACACUGUUUCCCUGGCAGACCCUAGAGCAGGGUUCUCCAACCCUGUUCCUGGAGAGCUACCCUCCUGUAGAUUUUCACUCCAACCCUGUUCUGGGAGAGCUACCCUCCUGUAGGUUUUCACUCCAACCCCAGUUGUGACUAACCUGAUUCAGCUUAUGGACCAUCUAAUUAUUAGUCAGGCGUGCUAGAUAACCUUCAGGACGGUAGCUCUCCAGGAACAGAAUUGGAGAGCCCUGCUCUAGGGGGACUGGAGAUGUUUGGCGGGUGCUACUGUUAGCACAGCCUAGUUGACAACAUUGAGCUACUCCCUGGUACUACUUUAGGUGUCUUGACUUCAUCUCUAGCCAUUUUUCUUACAUUUGUUAACCGGUGCAUGUUUGGCCACCACUGUCAUUGGCAAAAUAUUAAUUUGAUGUGACUGACAGAUUUGUGGCGCGUCUCAGCCGUCCUUAUGAAUAAUUGACCAAAACUUGCCAAUAAUAAAAAUAAUAAUGCUUUAAACUCAACCUUUUGCAAGAGUUUCCAGUUUGUACUGCUUUUGCAGAAGUAUUUGGCAGAAAUUACAACUUUUCCGUUUUGUCGUCUUUUCCAUGCUAUUUCCCAAUCCAUUUACCUUUUCUUUCUGAAAGUAGAGGAAGAAAUGCAGUGGUUAUGCUUGUGGCCAGCUGAAAGUGAAGAACUGUAUAGAGGUAAUGCACUGGACCAACUCUUGUUGACCAUUUUUAUGGAAUACCAGCAACAAACUUGCACAAUGUUUAAAAAAUAUAUGUAUAUCUAUGUAUGUAAUGUAUGUAUGUAUGUAUGUAUGUAUGUAUGUAUGUAUGUAUGUGUGUAUGUGUGUGUGUGUGUGUGUGUGUGUGUGUGUGUGUGUGUGUGUGUGUGUGUUGCACGCACGCACGCACACACAAUGGCAGCUGUUUUUAAUUAAACAAUUAAAUACAUAUUAUGUAAAGUGAAAAACACCUUGUUUACCAUGUCAUCCUCCAGUCUUCUUGGUUCGCUUCACUAGUUGUUUGUAACUGGGUCAGUUUGUUUCACUAGUUGUUUUAUAACUGGGUCAGUAUGCUUCAUUUACACCUCUAUUUUUCCUACUUCUGGUUGAAAAUAAAUUCUAUAUCUGUUUUAAA